UACGUAGGUGGCAAGCGUUGUCCGGAUUUAUUGGGUUUAAAGGGUGCGUAGGCGGCUUUGUAAGUCAGUGGUGAAAUAUGGCAGCUCAACUGUCAGGGUGCCAUUGAUACUGCAGAGCUUGAGUACAGAUGAGGUAGGCGGAAUUGACGGUGUAGCGGUGAAAUGCGUAGAUAUCGGAAGGAACACCUGUGGCGAAAGCGGCGCACUGGACCACAACUGACGCUGAGGCGCGAAAGCUAGGGGAGCAAACAGG
rnacentral:rRNA from 1 species